CAUGCAGUCGACGAUGAAGCAGAGCUUGCUCUGUGGAUUAGUGGCGAACGGGUGAGUAACACGUGAGUAACCUGCCCUUGACUCUGGAAUAAGCGUUGGAAACGACGUCUAAUACUGGAUACGAGCUUCAGCCGCAUGGCUAGGAGUUGGAAAGAUUUUCGGUCAAGGAUGGACUCGCGGCCUAUCAGGUAGUUGGUGAGGUAAUGGCUCACCAAGCCUACGACGGGUAGCCGGCCUGAGAGGGUGACCGGCCACACUGGAACUGAGACACGGUCCAGACUCCUACGGGAGGCAGCAGUGGGGAAUAUUGCACAAUGGGCGCAAGCCUGAUGCAGCAACGCCGCGUGAGGGACGACGGCCUUCGGGUUGUAAACCUCUUUUAGUAGGGAAGAAGCGAUGUGCUUGUCACAUCAUGACGGUACCUGCAGAAAAAGCACCGGCUAACUACGUGCCAGCAGCCGCGGUAAUACGUAGGGUGCAAGCGUUAUCCGGAAUUAUUGGGCGUAAAGAGCUCGUAGGCGGUUUGUCGCGUCUGCUGUGAAAACUGGAGGCUCAACCUCCAGCCUGCAGUGGGUACGGGCAGACUAGAGUGCGGUAGGGGAGAUUGGAAUUCCUGGUGUAGCGGUGGAAUGCGCAGAUAUCAGGAGGAACACCAAUGGCGAAGGCAGAUCUCUGGGCCGUAACUGACGCUGAGGAGCGAAAGCAUGGGGAGCGAACAGGAUUAGAUACCCUGGUAGUCCAUGCCGUAAACGUUGGGAACUAGAUGU
rnacentral:rRNA from 1 species